rnacentral:rRNA from 1 species
GACGAACGCUGGCGGCGUGCUUAACACAUGCAAGUCGAACGGAAAGGCCCUGCUUUUGUGGGGUGCUCGAGUGGCGAACGGGUGAGUAACACGUGAGUAACCUGCCCUUGACUUUGGGAUAACUGCAGGAAACUGGGGCUAAUACCGGAUAGGAGCUCCUGCUGCAUGGUGGGGGUUGGAAAGUUUCGGCGGUUGGGGAUGGACUCGCGGCUUAUCAGCUUGUUGGUGGGGUAGUGGCUUACCAAGGCUUUGACGGGUAGCCGGCCUGAGAGGGUGACCGGCCACAUUGGGACUGAGAUACGGCCCAGACUCCUACGGGAGGCAGCAGUGGGGAAUAUUGCACAAUGGGCGGAAGCCUGAUGCAGCAACGCCGCGUGCGGGAUGACGGCCUUCGGGUUGUAAACCGCUUUCGCCUGUGACGAAGCGUGAGUGACGGUAAUGGGUAAAGAAGCACCGGCUAACUACGUGCCAGCAGCCGCGGUGAUACGUAGGGUGCGAGCGUUGUCCGGAUUUAUUGGGCGUAAAGGGCUCGUAGGUGGUUGAUCGCGUCGGAAGUGUAAUCUUGGGGCUUAACCCUGAGCGUGCUUUCGAUACGGGUUGACUUGAGGAAGGUAGGGGAGAAUGGAAUUCCUGGUGGAGCGGUGGAAUGCGCAGAUAUCAGGAGGAACACCAGUGGCGAAGGCGGUUCUCUGGGCCUUUCCUGACGCUGAGGAGCGAAAGCGUGGGGAGCGAACAGGCUUAGAUACCCUGGUAGUCCACGCUGUAAACGGUGGGUACUAGGUGUGGGGUCCAUUCCACGGGUUCCGUGCCGUAGCUAACGCUUUAAGUACCCCGCCUGGGGAGUACGGCCGCAAGGCUAAAACUCAAAGGAAUUGACGGGGCCCCGCACAAGCGGCGGAGCAUGCGGAUUAAUUCGAUGCAACGCGUAGAACCUUACCUGGGUUUGACAUGGAUCGGGAGCGCUCAGAGAUGGGUGUGCCUCUUUUGGGGUCGGUUCACAGGUGGUGCAUGGCUGUCGUCAGCUCGUGUCGUGAGAUGUUGGGUUAAGUCCCGCAACGAGCGCAACCCUUGUUCACUGUUGCCAGCACGUUAUGGUGGGGACUCAGUGGAGACCGCCGGGGUCAACUCGGAGGAAGGUGGGGAUGACGUCAAGUCAUCAUGCCCCUUAUGUCCAGGGCUUCACGCAUGCUACAAUGGCUGGUACAGAGAGUGGCGAGCCUGUGAGGGUGAGCGAAUCUCGGAAAGCCGGUCUCAGUUCGGAUUGGGGUCUGCAACUCGACCUCAUGAAGUCGGAGUCGCUAGUAAUCGCAGAUCAGCAACGCUGCGGUGAAUACGUUCCCGGG